rnacentral:rRNA from 1 species
UACGUAGGGUGCAAGCGUUAAUCGGAAUUACUGGGCGUAAAGCGUGCGCAGGCGGUUUUGUAAGUCUGUCGUGAAAGCCCCGGGCUCAACCUGGGAAUUGCGAUGGAGACUGCAAGGCUUUGAAUCUGGCAGAGGGGGGUAGAAUUCCACGUGUAGCAGUGAAAUGCGUAGAGAUGUGGAGGAACACCGAUGGCGAAGGCAGCCCCUGGGUCAAGAUUGACGCUCAUGCACGAAGCGUGGGGAGCAAACAGG